UCACUCUUAAUUUCCUCAUCCUCGCUCAAAUUAAUGGGGAAAUUGUCGCUUUCUCGGUCCGAAUAGCUCUAGCUGCUGCUGGCUAUGAUUGUAAACAAUGUUCAGAUGUGAGGAGCUCCACAACCCGUGACGUCACGCGCACAUCGUCUGCUACUUCCGGUAAAGGUAAGGCUUUUUUAUUAGCGACCAAAAGUUGCGAACUUUAUCGUGGAUGUUCUCUACUAAAUCCUUUCAGCAAAAGUAUGGCAAUAUCGCGAAAUGAUCAAGUAUGACACAGAAUGGACCUGCUAUCCCCGUUUAAAUAAGAACAUCUCAUUUCAGUAGGCCUUUAAGGAGGACGAGAUGCAAUGUGCUCAAACAACCACCAGGUAGCAUCUGUGAGCAGAUAAUACUGUAUCAUCUUUUUCGGACUGAACAGGUGGAGUUUUCAAUCAGGGUUUAAGUGAGGGAUGAAGCAAAAAAAACUAACCCGGACCAACUGUGACCACGAGGAUCCGAGUCUGGUAGAAGGACGCUCAGCUGCAUUUGGCUGGCUCGUCUUCCAGCAGAUGAUGAUUCAUUUCACCCGUGGGUGGAUGGAGCUCAUUUCAAAAGGAACUUCCGCUGGUGUUUGCGGACUCUGGAGUGGUCGAUCUUCUUCAUCAGCUUGGUGUGCUUGUAGAUGAGCCAGGUCUCCCUCAGCACGUUGGCCGCCGCGUUCUUUAUCUGCGCACAGACGACACACACACAUAAUCAUUACGGGUCGCCCUUGACAACAGAGGCGACCGGCGUGGAGGUUAUGUGGACUAUAACGCAGCCAAGUGACGACUGGAUCUGGGAGGACAUAAAUCCAGUGAAAGACUUCAAAGAGAUGCUGAGGACUAAACAAAGAACAAUUAUACUCCCAGCCUGAGGAGCACAAAAGGGAGCGAACAGCUUGGCUAAUCAGCACCCGGCCACUGCAGUCAAGCAUCUUCACAGACCUUCCCAUGCUGCUCCUCCUUCACGCCCUCGAUUAUCUGCUUCAUGCCGUGCUACGCUGUUCAUUUUGUCCACAAUUGUCGAGCCCCACUCAUUCACGCCACCAGGCCUUACGCACCCUCUUGGUGAGUUGUGUGUCCAUCAUGAAGUUGUGCACGUGUUUCUCGGCCUUGGUCAGCUCCAGCUUCCUGGCUACCACGGCAACCACCAGAGCUGUGCAACCGGCACCCUGAAA